UGGCUCAGGAUGAACGCUAGCUACAGGCUUAACACAUGCAAGUCGAGGGGCAGCAUUUUAGUUUGCUUGCAAACUAAAGAUGGCGACCGGCGCACGGGUGAGUAACACGUAUCCAACCUGCCGAUAACUCGGGGAUAGCCUUUCGAAAGAAAGAUUAAUAUCCGAUAGUAUAUUAAAACCGCAUGGUUUUACUAUUAAAGAAUUUCGGUUAUCGAUGGGGAUGCGUUCCAUUAGUUUGUUGGCGGGGUAACGGCCCACCAAGACUACGAUGGAUAGGGGUUCUGAGAGGAAGGUCCCCCACAUUGGAACUGAGACACGGUCCAAACUCCUACGGGAGGCAGCAGUGAGGAAUAUUGGUCAAUGGACGAGAGUCUGAACCAGCCAAGUAGCGUGAAGGAUGACUGCCCUAUGGGUUGUAAACUUCUUUUAUAUGGGAAUAAAGUAUUCCACGUGUGGAAUUUUGUAUGUACCAUAUGAAUAAGGAUCGGCUAACUCCGUGCCAGCAGCCGCGGUAAUACGGAGGAUCCGAGCGUUAUCCGGAUUUAUUGGGUUUAAAGGGAGCGUAGGUGGAUUGUUAAGUCAGUUGUGAAAGUUUGCGGCUCAACCGUAAAAUUGCAGUUGAAACUGGCAGUCUUGAGUACAGUAGAGGUGGGCGGAAUUCGUGGUGUAGCGGUGAAAUGCUUAGAUAUCACGAAGAACUCCGAUUGCGAAGGCAGCUCACUAGACUGCAACUGACACUGAUGCUCGAAAGUGUGGGUAUCAAACAGGAUUAGAUACCCUGGUAGUCCACACAGUAAACGAUGAAUACUCGCUGUUUGCGAUAUACAGUAAGCGGCCAAGCGAAAGCAUUAAGUAUUCCACCUGGGAGUACGCCGGCAACGGUGAAACUCAAAGGAAUUGACGGGGGCCCGCACAAGCGGAGGAACAUGUGGUUUAAUUCGAUGAUACGCGAGGAACCUUACCCGGGCUUAAAUUGCAUUUGAAUAAUCUGGAAACAGGUUAGCCGCAAGGCAAAUGUGAAGGUGCUGCAUGGUUGUCGUCAGCUCGUGCCGUGAGGUGUCGGCUUAAGUGCCAUAACGAGCGCAACCCUUAUCUUUAGUUACUAACAGGUCAUGCUGAGGACUCUAGAGAGACUGCCGUCGUAAGAUGUGAGGAAGGUGGGGAUGACGUCAAAUCAGCACGGCCCUUACGUCCGGGGCUACACACGUGUUACAAUGGGGGGUACAGAAGGCAGCUACCUGGUGACAGGAUGCUAAUCCCAAAAACCUCUCUCAGUUCGGAUCGAAGUCUGCAACCCGACUUCGUGAAGCUGGAUUCGCUAGUAAUCGCGCAUCAGCCAUGGCGCGGUGAAUACGUUCCCGGGCCUUGUACACACCGCCCGUCAAGCCAUGAAAGCCGGGGGUACCUGAAGUACGUAACCGCGAGGAGCGCCCUAGGGUAAAACU
rnacentral:rRNA from 1 species